rnacentral:rRNA from 1 species
UACGAGGGGGCGAGCGUUGUUCGGAAUUAUUGGGCGUAAAGGGUGCGUAGGCGGUUCCGCAAGUCCUGUGUGAAAUCUUCGGGCUCAACUCGAAGUCUGCACGGGAAACUGCCGUGCUUGAGUGUGGGAGAGGUGAGUGGAAUUCCGGUGUAGCGGUGAAAUGCGUAGAUAUCGGGAGGAACACCUGUGGCGAAAGCGGCUCACUGGACCACAACUGACGCUGAGGCGCGAAAGCUAGGGAGCAACAGG